rnacentral:rRNA from 1 species
UACGUAGGGUGCAAGCGUUGUCCGGAAUUAUUGGGCGUAAAGAGCUCGUAGGCGGUCUGUCGCGUCGGAAGUGAAAACCCGGGGCUCAACCCCGGGCCUGCUUUCGAUACGGGCAGACUAGAGUUCGGCAGGGGAGACGUGGAAUUCCUGGUGUAGCGGUGAAAUGACGCAGAUAUCAGGAGGAACACCCGGUGGCGAAGGCGGGUCUCUGGGCCGAUACUGACGCUGAGGAGCGAAAGCGUGGGGAGCGAACAGGA